rnacentral:rRNA from 1 species
AGGGGCAGCAUGGUCUUAGCUUGCUAAGGCUGAUGGCGACCGGCGCACGGGUGAGUAACACGUAUCCAACCUGCCGUCUACUCUUGGCCAGCCUUCUGAAAGGAAGAUUAAUCCAGGAUGGGAUCAUGAGUUCACAUGUCCGCAUGAUUAAAGGUAUUUUCCGGUAGACGAUGGGGAUGCGUUCCAUUAGAUAGUAGGCGGGGUAACGGCCCACCUAGUCAACGAUGGAUAGGGGUUCUGAGAGGAAGGUCCCCCACAUUGGAACUGAGACACGGUCCAAACUCCUACGGGAGGCAGCAGUGAGGAAUAUUGGUCAAUGGGCGAUGGCCUGAACCAGCCAAGUAGCGUGAAGGAUGACUGCCCUAUGGGUUGUAAACUUCUUUUAUAAAGGAAUAAAGUCGGGUAUGCAUACCCGUUUGCAUGUACUUUAUGAAUAAGGAUCGGCUAACUCCGUGCCAGCAGCCGCGGUAAUACGGAGGAUCCGAGCGUUAUCCGGAUUUAUUGGGUUUAAAGGGAGCGUAGAUGGAUGUUUAAGUCAGUUGUGAAAGUUUGCGGCUCAACCGUAAAAUUGCAGUUGGUACUGGAUGUCUUGAGUGCAGUUGAGGCAGGCGGAAUUCGUGGUGUAGCGGUGAAAUGCUUAGAUAUCACGAAGAACUCCGAUUGCGAAGGCAGCCUGCUAAGCUGCAACUGACAUUGAGGCUCG